rnacentral:lncRNA from 1 species
UAGAAAUGAUUUUUGAAAAAAUACUAAAGGAACUUGGAAAAUUAUGGAAAAAUAAUUUUUGUGUAUGAAAUAUAUGUAUAUGUGUUUGACCAAAGGAUAGAAAAAUAAUAAGUUGAUUUGGUAUUUUUCGUGAAAAAGAAUAUUGAUUUCAGGAUACUGAAAUGAAAUCCGUCUUACUGAAAUGGUAUUUCGGUUUACUAAGAUGUUAUCUAAUUUACUAGGAUAACAUAUAAAAAUGAAUAACUUAUAAGUACAAGUUAUGAUGUGAUUAAAAGAAUAUCAAAGUAUAAUAAGAAUAUUAAGACUUAAACCUAUUGUCUAAUACUUAACUAUAUGUUAUGACUAACCGAAAGAUCUAUUAUAGGUUUUAUAUGCUGUAUAGACUGAUAGGAUUAUGUGUUUAAGUUAUUUUAUAACGGUGAUGAUAUUAUUCUAAUAUUGGAGAUCUAUAUUAUUAAUAUUAGGUCUUCAGGAGAAGCUUAUUAUAUUGCGUUACGGUAAUCAACGGUUCAGGCAAGUUUUUCAAGUUCUUUUUACUUAAACUCUUUUAAGAGUGGUUUCAGACAGAUAUGCUUAUGAAUUGUACUCUGUACAUAUUGCAUGUAUUCAUCAGGUAUGAAAGGCUGAUCACCUUCAUUACCAGUCAGUUCAGAUAUAAUUGUUAUGUUCAUUUUCAAUGUUCAUUCAGCUUUGAAAUUUUGUUCAUGCUAAUUCACAACUACAUUGUGAAGGAUAGCCAGCUUAUUAUUCAAACUCUUUCAAUCAUGAUAUAUCUUUACCUUGUUUUUUUUAAACUUGCUGGGCAACUUUCAUGCUCACCCUUGCUAUAUCAUGAUAAAACAUUGCAGAUAAGGCGAAUACGGCCAGAUACAGGAAAAGGAUAAUGCCAAGUUCAGCUUGGGAUAGAAUGUGAAGUUAAGUUGUAAAGUAUGUUGAAGAAUAGUAUUGUCAUGUGUUAGACAGUUCACGAUUGUGUAUUAGUUAAGGUUACUCGAUUUUGGGAAUAGUGUGUAAAGUUUAAUGUAUAAACAAUUUAUGUUUAUAUCUUCCGCAAUAGUGAUAGAAUUAGUAUACCGGAUCCGCGGCGAUUUGGGACCCGAAUUUGGGGCUAUCACAGUUGGUAUCAAAGUUGUAGGUUAUAAACCUUAGGUAGGUGUACCUUAGGCUAUAACCACAAAGAUGAUAAGUAAUAAACUCGAAUAGAGUUUAAGCGAUAAGAGAUGAAUUUAUGGAAAUUCAUCAUUAAGUAAAGAAGAAGAUAAAGAAGAUUCAAAGAAGAAUCUUGAAGAGAUAUAAGGAUAAGAAUCUGGAGUUACCUAACUCCAGUAAUAGAGAUGAAAAGUGAAAAUAAAUAGACUAUGUCUAUAAGAUGAAAAGUGUAAAUAAAAUCAUAAUAAAAUAUGAUUAAAGAGAAGAAUAAGAAGAUCGUAAAAUAAAACGAUCGUUAGCAUAAGGAGAAAUGAUUACGAAAUAAGAUCACCACGUGAUCAGAUUAAAUCAUUGAAUAACAUAUGAUUUGUUAAGUGAUUGGAAUGAUAUAGCUUGAUGCUAUAAAGAGAAGGUACUAUGAAAUGGUACAAUGUAAACUCAAAAAUGAGUGGAAAAUGUUAAGAUACGGAUUAAAGAAAAUUCGUAUUAAGAAAAGAGAAAGUUAAGAUUAUAUGGGUUUUCAAUUGAGGACUCAGGUCAGCAGCUGAGUUGUAUGAUUCCUUGUAUGGGCGGGGAAUUUGUACUUGGUUUUAGAAUCACUUAGCUUCCUGGUUGAUAUAGUGGUUAGGUUGACAAAUUCUUUGUAUGGGCGUGGAAUUGUCCGCUUAGCUUCCUAUAUUGAUUAGUGGCCGAGUUUGGUUUGACAACCACUUAGUUUCUGGUAAUGAUAAUCAUUGGAACCUAAUGUCGCGCUAUUUGUUAUAUGCAUGUUGAGAAGGUGAUUCUUUGCUCAUGUGUAUAACGAAUAGGUAUGUUCAUCAGGUAUGAAUUGUGAGUUCUUAAAACUCAUACUUAUGGUAAGUUCAUGACUCAUAAUCAUAUGGUAUGUUUUGAACCCCUCAGCGAAUGGACGCCUAUGGUCUGACUAGGAUAAGUUCUUAAACUCAUAUGAUUGUGGCAAGUUCCUGAACUCAUAAUGUGUGGUAAGUUUGAUGAACUGGGGUAUAGCAAAGUGGUGAAUGGAGCAUUGAGGAUUAUAAGAAUAGAUAGAUNNNNNNNNNNNNNNNNNNNNNNNNNNNNNNNNNNNNNNNNNNNNNNNNNNNNNNNNNNNNNNNNNNNNNNNNNNNNNNNNNNNNNNNNNNNNNNNNNNNNNNNNNNNNNNNAAUAGUGUGUAAAGUUUAAUGUAUAAACAAUUUAUGUUUAUAUCUUCCGCAAACAGUUAUAGAAUUAGUGAACCGGAUCCGAGGCGGAUUCCGGGGACACUACAGUUGGCUGCAUGUAUUCAUCAGGUAUGAAAGGCUGAUCACCUUCAUUACCAGUCAGUUCAGAUAUAAUUGUUAUGUUCAUUUUCAAUGUUCAUUCAGCUUUGAAAUUUUGUUCAUGCUAAUUCACAACUACAUUGUGAAGGAUAGCCAGCUUAUUAUUCAAACUCUUUCAAUCAUGAUAUAUCUUUACCUUGUUUUUUUUUAAACGUGCUGGGCAACUUUCAUGCUCACCCUUGCUAUAUCAUGAUAAAACAUUGCAGAUAAGGCGAAUACGGCCAGUUACAGGAAAAGGAAAAUGCCAAGUUCAGCUUGGGAUAGAAUGUGCAGCUAAUUUGUAAAAGUAUGGUUGAAGAAUAGUAUUGUCAUGUGUUAGAUAGUUUAUGAUUGUGUAUUAGUUAAGGUUACUCGAUUUUGGGGAAAUAAUGUGUAAAGUUUAAUGUAUAAACAAUUUAUGUUUAUAUCUUCCGCAAUAGUGAUAGAAUUAGUAUACCGGAUCCGCGGCGAUUUGGGACCCGGAUUCGGGGAUGCUACAG